GCAGAAGUCUUUCCAAAGCCAAGUAUGGUUAAGCUUCUUGUCCCACCUCCUAAUGGAAACUCGGUCUUUUUUUUUGUCCGACAUGCCUAGAGAGCCUCUGACUACACUUCAUGCCAGAUCCUUGCUUGGGUUAUCCUUGAUCAUUUUUAGAACUCUUUCGUUAUUUACGUUCUUGAAUGGGGCUUCCACCCAUUUCAUUUUGACUCAGGCCUGAUGAGCUCCAACAAUCCCUUCGUGGACUUCCG
rnacentral:lncRNA from 1 species